GUGCUCAGCUCUGUCAGCGACCUGCCCAGUUGCCUCGCUGCCAGGGGAUGCAGACAUUUCUCUAAGGCACAUAAAGGGGCUAUUUAGUGUUGAAACAAAUGCGAGGAAUGUGCAUUUAUGAGAGGAAAUUUCCAUCUCUUCAACAGCUGUACAUCAGGGCUCCAGUGGCCUAAUGGAUAAGGCAUUGGCUUCCGAAGCCAGAGAUUGUGGGUUCAAGUCCCAUCUGGGGUGAAGAUCUAUGUCUUUCCUCUAUAUUGCAAGGAAAGGGCCUUAUUUUCAACCAGGAAGCUGGGAGAUGUUUCUUUGUUUGAGCACAAAGUCCUGGAUCUUGGGAACAAUCCCCAAGGAUAUUAGAAGGCUCAGUCUGGUGACCUAAUGGAUGCAACCACACACCCCCAUCCCAGGGCAGCCCCAUCUGAGAACCAGGAUCCAUGGAGCAACAUUCCCCUCCUGCCCUGACAGGCAGAAACGCAAUGGAGGAGAAUCUCACAUCCCUGAGCUGCCAGGUGACAGUGGCAGGAAGAAAAUGCACUGCAAUGAAAUUUAAAAAACACUCAUAAAUAAUUUAACAAUGAGAAGUAAUUAAAUAAAAAAAAAUCCAAUGGA